rnacentral:rRNA from 1 species
GACAGAGGGUGCAAACGUUGUCCGGAAUUAUUGGGCGUAAAGCGCGCGCAGGCGGUCCUUUAAGUCUGAUGUGAAGGCCCACGGCUCAACCGUGGAGGGUCAUUGGAAACUGGGGGACUUGAGUGCAGGAGAGAAGAGUGGAAUUCCACGUGUGGCGGUGAAAUGCGUAGAGAUGUGGAGGAACACCAGUGGCGAAGGCGACUCUUUGGCCUGUAACUGACGCUGAGGCGCGAAAGCGUGGGGAGCAAACAGG